UGGGGAAUAUUGGACAAUGGGGGGAACCCUAUCAGCCAUGCCGCGUGUGUGAAGAAGGCCUUAUGGUUGUAAAGCACUUUAAGCGAGGAGGAGGCUACUAGUAUUAAUACUACUGGAUAGUGGACGUUACUCGCAGAAUAAGCACCGGCUAACUCUGUGCCAGCAGCCGCGGUAAUACAGAGGGUGCGAGCGUUAAUCGGAUUUACUGGGCGUAAAGCGUGCGUAGGCGGCCAUUUAAGUCAAAUGUGAAAUCCCCGAGCUUAACUUGGGAAUUGCAUUCGAUACUGGAUGGCUAGAGUAUGGGAGAGGAUGGUAGAAUUCCAGGUGUAGCGGUGAAAUGCGUAGAGAUCUGGAGGAAUACCGAUGGCGAAGGCAGCCAUCUGGCCUAAUACUGACGCUGAGGUACGAAAGCAUGGGGAGCAAACAGGAUUAGAUACCCUGGUAGUCCAUGCCGUAAACGAUGUCUACUAGCCGUUGGGGCCUUUGAGGCUUUAGUGGCGCAGCUAACGCGAUAAGUAGACCGCCUGGGGAGUACGGUCGC
rnacentral:rRNA from 1 species